UACUCAGGUUGAUGGAGUCAGGGACGAAGUGGCUUAUCAACAACACAGGAUGUCUGCAGGGAACAGAACUUAUUCAGACAUGGCCCAGAUUGUCUGCCCGUGGGGACUGAGGGACCUCUGAGGG
rfam:Mus musculus chromosome 10, GRC primary reference assembly.